rnacentral:rRNA from 1 species
AACGCGAAGAACCUUACCUGGGCUCGAACGGCUUCUCAACGCCGGUGGAAACACCGGUAUCCCGCAAGGGAGUGGAGUCGAGGUGCUGCAUGGCUGUCGUCAGCUCGUGUCGUGAGAUGUUGGGUUAAGUCCCGCAACGAGCGCAACCCUUGUCCUGUGUUGCCAUCAUUCAGUUGGGAACUCGCAGGAGACCGCCAGCGAUAAGCUGGAGGAAGGUGGGGAUGACGUCAAGUCCUCAUGGCCUUUAUGUCCAGGGCUACACACGUGCUACAAUGGACGGUACAAUACGUCGCUAACCCGCGAGGGGGAGCCAAUCGCUAAAAACCGUUCUCAGUUCGGAUUGCAGGCUGCAACUCGCCUGCAUGAAGCUGGAAUCGCUAGUAAUGGCAGAUCAGCACGCUGCCGUGAAUACGUUCCCGGGCCUUGUA